rnacentral:rRNA from 1 species
AUAUGUAGCGAUUUAUAUUUAUAAUGAUUAUUGAUGUAUUGUUUAGAAAAUAAUCUAUUGUUAUUGUAUUUAUUUAAGAAAUAAUUUUUUUUAUUAUAGUGAAUUUGUACUGUGAGGGGAAAUUGAAAUAGUUAUAUUAUGUUAGUUAAAGUUGAUUUUAUUUGUUGUACCUUGUGUAUCAGGGUUUAUUGAAAAUAAAUAUUUAUAUUAUUGUUCCCGAUUUCAGGAGAGCUAAGUUAAUAUAUUUAUUAAUGUGGAAUAAUUAUAUAUAAUAAUAGUUUAGUGAUGAAAUGUUAAUCGAUCUUGAAUAUAUCUGGUUUUUAGAGAAAUGAAUUUAAUUCAUAUAUUGGUUGUUAUAUAACUUAAUUAGGAAAUUAUAGUAUUUAGCUGAUAUAAAUACUUUGGGGGAUAAGCUUUGGGGUAGAGAUUCUAUAAGAUUAGUUGUUAAAUAAGUGUAAUGGGUUUGGAGGUGAUUAUUAAUUGAAGGAUGUUAAAAUUUUACUUAUUUAUUAGUAUAUUUGUGUGGAACUUUGGAUUUGUUAUUGAGAAUUUUUAAUUAAUUAAAAAUUAAUUGUUAUUAUGAUAGAAUUAGUAUAAUUAAAUUAUAAAUUUCUAUUAAUGUUUGUGAAAAAAUUAUAAGGAAUUAGGCAAAAUAUUGUGUAUUCGCCUGUUUAACAAAAACAUCUCUUUUCGUAUAUGUGGGAAGUAUAACCUGCCCACUGACUGAGGUUGAAGGGCCGCGGUAAUUUGACCGUGCAAAGGUAGCAUAAUCAUUAGUUUCUUAAUUGGAGGCUGGAAUGAAUGGUUGGACGAAAUACAUACUGUCUUGUAAUUUGUGUUGGAAUUUAAUAUUUAAGUAAGAAAGCUUAAAUUUUUUUGUGGGACGAGAAGACCCUAUAGAGUUUAAUAAUUUGUGUUAUAUAUUGGGUUUGUUUAUUAGUUUAUAAAUGUAAUUAUUUUGUUGGGGUGAUAGGAAGAUAAUAUAAACUCUUUUUUUUGUAAAAUAUUGGUGUAUAGUAUAUGGAUCCAUUUUUAGUGAUUAGAAGACUAAAUUACCUUAGGGAUAACAGCGUAAUCUUUUUUGAGAGUUCAAAUCGACAAAAGGGGUUGCGACCUCGAUGUUGGAUUAAGAUAAAUAUUAGGUGUAGAAGCUUAAGUAUUAGGUCUGUUCGACCUUUAAAAUCUUACAUGAUCUGAGUUCAAACCGGCGUGAGCCAGGUUGGUUUCUAUCUAUAAAUAGAUAUAGUAUUUUAGUACGAAAGGACCAAUUACUAAAAAUAAUUUUAAUGGAAAAAUGAAUAAUAUUAAUU